CUGCACAAUUUCAUUCAUUUGAUAAUUUUGCAUUCAUUUGCAUCAUAUAUUUUCAAUUGGCAUUAUUUGAUUUUUCUUUCUUUUCCUUUCCAACGAAAAAACCUAAAUUCUAGCAAGGCUCCGGCGAGGGAUUAUGAUGGUGAUGAUGUUGUACAAUGAUUCAAAGAAAAUGGAUGGCAGUUGGAUCAAGUUAGGAGGAUUUUUGCUCAAACUCCAAUUUUCUUCAAAAUGAAGAAACUAGAACUUUGAUGAUGAAUUUAAUGCAGAGUUUUGGAUUUAUUUAGUAGUGAUUGAUUGUGUAGCUUGUAAAUAAAAUGGUGUUUAUUUAUAGGCUUUAGAAUUAGGUUAAAGGAUAGGAUGGGGAUUGUGAGAAAAUGCACAAAGUGUGAGUGAAUUUGAACUUCAUUUGGUGUAAUUUGAUUUGAAUUUGAAUUUGGCAUGAAAAUAUCUCAA